GAGAGAGAGAGGGGCUUGCCGGCGUUCUGUCCGCCGGUCGAGCCGUUAUAGUGUCAUUAGGGCAGAAAAUCAGGAUCUGCCUCCUAAUCGCCUGCCCUUCGAGUCCGAUUAUUUCGCCACCCGGAGGUGGACCCGCGGACAUUGGUACUCGUGUGAGCUGCAGCCUUGGCGCCGAUCUCGGAGAAGAUAGUAAGCGUCAUGUCGCAGUGUGCUGCCGAUCCCGGCGUUGCCCUAGGAGGUGGACUCGGCGAUAGCGCUUUUCGCGGGCAUUUGACGGCUGGAGGUUUUUUGUUCUACGGCGCCGUGUCGCAGUGUGCCGUCGAUCCCGGCGUUGAUCUGAGCAUUCAUCCGCCUUUUUAUGCCGCCGCCGCCGCUAACGGCGAUGAUGAUGCUGAUAUAACAAGGGCAUCACUGCGAGCUACUUUUCCAAGAUAUUCGCAGUUGUGAGCGAUUCGAGUGCCGAUCCGCCGCCCGCGCAAGCAAACCGACGGGAUGCGGGUGGCCGGAGCUCGUCGCAAAUUACGUUUUGCGGCCGAUUCGAGAGACGACAAGCCGGCCCAAGCCCCUGGCGCUGCAGCCCGAGGUUAAAGACACCGCGGCGAGCCGAGUCGCCGAGAGAAGCCCCGCCCGGCGCUGCUCAUUCAAAUCAUCCGAAUGCUCGACGCGCGGCCGCGGGAAUAAUGAAAAGACCGCCCGAGUCACGUUGAAGUGAUUUAAGUAGCUGCAGCACACAUCCAGCGCGAGGCACGAAAGUCGGAGGUGAUAUACUGCAAUCGGGAGAACAAGUGAAAAGAGACAAUACAGUGAUUAGUGCGCGAUUAGUGAAACAACGUCGGCCAGCAGCUUCGAGCGUCGAAGGAAUUGUCGUCUGCGCUGUCGUCGCUGCCGAUGACGCUUCGAAUGUCGGGCAUCGCGGAGAGAAGGAGAAAAACAAUGGGCCGCAGUCUGUAUGACGCGCGGAACGAGGGCCGCGCAGACGCCACCUAAGUAUUUCUGAUCAGAUUCCGAGUGGCGCUCGCCCGCGCCGCUCAUCCUCGGGAAUUCGAGCGCUCCGACAGAGCGAGAAAAAAGGAGCGCGACCGGGGAAACUGCAGUGUGCAGGUACUCUCGCCGGAGCUCCACUUGUUUUUGUUCAACUGGCCAUCGCGGAUGAUUUUAAUCUUUGUUGGGAGAAAUUUAUAUGCCCUUUUUACGGGCAUCGUGGUCGCGGGCUCCAGCUCAUGCGGCGGCAAUCGAUAUUAACGUCAAUUUCGGAGCUAUGUAUAAUUAAUGGUUGCACUCAAUUUUUUUUUUCACCCCAACCAUCGUCAACGUUCUAAUCGAGAACGCAACUCCUCGAACCGGCAUUCGUAAAGUAAUUUAUUAUUUUCGCAAACGAUUCGCUAUCCUGUCAACGAUCGUAAAAUUUUAUCGAUGAUGCACAUACCGAUGUGAUUCCCGUUUCAAAAGGUUACGAAGUCGCGCUUUCGAUCUCUUCUUUCUUUAUAUCUUGUCGAUAAGACCGAUUCAGUACUGCUGUAAUCUGACCAUAA